rnacentral:piRNA from 1 species
AAGCCAGGAGUGGUGGCGCACGCUUU